AUGAAUGUAGAAAAUGGCAAGGAUACUGAGAGAGCAGGCACAUCGGGUUCUAAAAGACCAGAUCGAACAAAGUCUAGAUAGAGUCAUGCGUAUAGUCGAAGGCUUGGUUUGGGUGGUAGGUCAACAUGUAUCCCAUAGCCCAACUGUUACUAACAGUAGUAAUGAUGGUACCAGUAACACUUAGCCGGUGGAGGAAAAUGAUGGAAAACUCAUUGAAAAAUUGAAGAGGAUGAACCCACCACCAUUUGCUGGUGGAACCGACCCAAUAUUAGCCGAACAGUGGAUCAUAGAGUUGGAGAAGAUGUU
rnacentral:lncRNA from 1 species